rnacentral:rRNA from 1 species
AUUGAACGCUGGCGGCAUGCCUAACACAUGCAAGUCGAACGGCAGCACAGAUAUAGUUUACUAUAUUGGGUGGCGAGUGGCGGACGGGUGAGUAACGCGUGGGUAUAUGACCUAAUGACGGGGACAACUUGCGGAAACGCGAGCUAAUACCGGAUAAGCUCUGAGGAGGAAAGCUGGGGAUCUGGCGACAGACCUGGCGCUUUAGGAGUAACCUGCGUCCAAUUAGCUAGUUGGUAGGGUAAAGGCCUACCAAGGCGACGAUUGGUAGCUGGUCUGAGAGGACGGACAGCCACACUGGGACUGAGACACGGCCCAGACUCCUACGGGAGGCAGCAGUGGGGAAUAUUGGACAAUGGGGGGAACCCUGAUCCAGCAAUGCCGCGUGUGUGAAGAA